rnacentral:rRNA from 1 species
UACAGAGGUCCCGAGCGUUGUUCGGAUUCACUGGGCGUAAAGGGUGCGUAGGUGGCAUGGCCAGUUUGAUGUGAAAGCUCAGGGCUUAACCCUGAAAUGGCAUUGAAUACUGCUGUGCUGGAGGUUUGGAGGGGGGACUGGAAUUCUUGGUGUAGCAGUGAAAUGCGUAGAUAUCAAGAGGAACACCAGUGGCGAAGGCGAGUCCCUGGACAACACCUGACACUGAGGCACGAAAGCCGGGGGAGCAAACAGG